rnacentral:lncRNA from 1 species
UGCUUUUGAGGAAGGUUUGGUGGCAAAGGUAGAUUUUUAGCCUUAGCAUUUCACAACUGGUGGGCAGAAUUUAGAUGGGCAGAAGCAUUUUAGGAGGAGGCACAGCAUUGAAACCUAGUAAACUGAUGGAUGCUACAAUUGCUAUUAUUAAAGAGGAGCCCUUGAGGUCGUUGGACAAGUGGGUGCCAUGAACAGAAGCUGGCUUUUAGAAGAUUACUCUGACACAUGCAUCUGUGAGGAAGAGGAAAUACUAAGAGUUUUCAGAUUGAGAAAUGGAGGCAUCGAGGUCAAAUCUUUUACCUAAACCACUGAGCAGCAGAGACAGGUUCCUAUCCCAUGUUUCAGUGCUGGAGCAGACCCGUGUGUGUUUGGGAGCAGGGGUAGCUGGAGCUCUUGGAGGCCUCGCAGAGAGAUGGCCUUGCCCAUGAUGAAGUCCUCUGGUGACUCUGCAGGACUGGCUUCGGUCUUCAAAUUGGAUAUUUCCACUGGCACAUAACUAAGCCUCAGUCAAUGGAACUAUACAUCCAUAAGUCUCAGAAAGCAGAAGGAUGGCUUCCUAAAUGAUUUUUCCUUAUGCUAUAUGUGCCAAUAGAUAUCACUAAUACAAUCAGUACAAAUAAAUCAAGUUCUCAGCUUGUUAAUUAAGUUAAAAAUACAGAAGUUUCCUGGUUAUUCUCUCAUCAGUUUCAGAGUGUUCAUGACUUUGAAGUAGGUCUCACCGGACUAGAGUCAACAGCUGUUCUGAUGAAAUAGACGUGGUCCUCCAUUCACCACAAAGGCAGAGGUCAAGACUGACAGCAACUGCGCAUCACCAGGCGGAAAUUGCUAAGUUCUGGAGGCCGGCGCUGAUGCGAGACUGGGGCCUGCUGGAUCUGUCCCUGGUCACAGAGCAGCUGUGCGCUGUCAAAGUGCCGAGCGCUGUUACAGGUUUUUGCAGUUGUUGUUAUUUAAACCUCAAUCUAAAAAUCUAGUUUAAGAAGUGGGAAUGUUUGUGAUACACGUGAAUAAACCAAGGGGAAGAACUCAGAAGUUACAUCAUCCAUGAAGGGUGAAAAUGUGAUGAACUUUCACUGCUCCAAAGCACUAUAGACCAAAAUUUUGCCUGAUGGGAAAACAAUGACACAUCCUUCCUGUUUU